rnacentral:rRNA from 1 species
AAUUUUGGACAAUGGGGGCAACCCUGAUCCAGCCAUCCCGCGUGUGCGAUGAAGGACUUCGGGUUGUAAAGCACUUCUGGCAGGGAAGAAAGGGCGCAGGCUAAUACCCUGUGCUGCUGACGGUACCUGCAGAAUAAGCACCGGCUAACUACGUGCCAUCAGCCGCGGUAAUACGUAGGGUGCAAGCGUUAAUCGGAAUUACUGGGCGUAAAGCGUGCGUCGGCGGUUUGGCAAGAAAGGUGUGAAAUCCCAGAGCUUAACUUUGGAACUGCAUUUUUAACUGCCGAGCUAGAGUAUGUCAGAGGGGGGUAGAAUUCCACGUGUAGCAGUGAAAUGCGUAGAUAUGUGGAGGAAUACCGAUGGCGAAGGCAGCCCCCUGGGAUAAUACUGACGCUCAGACACGAAAGCGUGGGGAGCAAACAGG